rnacentral:tRNA from 1 species
UUAAUUGAAGCCAAAAAGAGGCAUAUUACUGUUAAUAAUAUAAAUGGAUAUAUAAAACCCAAUUAAA